CGAGUAAGUUGGAUGAUCGCGGGCAUAGCAUAAGCUGUGAACGAGGAAAGUCCGAGCUCCAAAGGGCAGGGUGCUGGGUAAUACCCAGUGGAGGUGACUCCAAGGAAAGUGCAACAGAGAGAUACCGCCCCUUCCAUAUAAUUAGAAGGGGUAAGGGUGGAAAGGUGAGGUAAGAGCUUACCAGCAACUAGGUGACUAGUUGGCUAUGUAAACCCCAUCUGGAGCAAGAUCAAGUAGGGACUAAAAAGCGGCGGCCCGUCGUGUCCCGUGGUAGAUUGCUUGAGCCUAUUGGUAACAGUAGGCCUAGAUAGAUGAUCAUCUAUGACAGAACUCGGCUUAUAGACUUACUCGUAUU
rnacentral:RNase_P_RNA from 1 species